rnacentral:rRNA from 1 species
CGAACGCUGGCGGCGUGCUUAACACAUGCAAGUCGAACGAUGAUCCCCAGCUUGCUGGGGUGAUUAGUGGCGAACGGGUGAGUAACACGUGAGUAACCUGCCCUUGACUCUGGGAUAAGCGUUGGAAACGACGUCUAAUACCGGAUACGACCAGCCCUGGCAUCGGGUGUUGGUGGAAAGAAUUUUGGUCAAGGAUGGACUCGCGGCCUAUCAGGUAGUUGGUGAGGUAAUGGCUCACCAAGCCUACGACGGGUAGCCGGCCUGAGAGGGUGACCGGCCACACUGGGACUGAGACACGGCCCAGACUCCUACGGGAGGCAGCAGUGGGGAAUAUUGCACAAUGGGCGAAAGCCUGAUGCAGCAACGCCGCGUGAGGGACGACGGCCUUCGGGUUGUAAACCUCUUUUAGCAGGGAAGAAGCGAAAGUGACGGUACCUGCAGAAAAAAGCACCGGCUAACUACGUGCCAGCAGCCGCGGUAAUACGUAGGGUGCAAGCGUUGUCCGGAAUUAUUGGGCGUAAAGAGCUCGUAGGCGGUUUGUCGCGUCUGCUGUGAAAACCCGAGGCUCAACCUCGGGCCUGCAGUGGGUACGGGCAGACUAGAGUGCGGUAGGGGAGAUUGGAAUUCCUGGU